rnacentral:lncRNA from 1 species
AAGGGUCCCUUAGCUACCUAAAACAGCACCACCUGCUAGUUGACUUCAAAACAUGAGCCUUCAAGACUCCAAAUAUUAUGAGAGACCUUUCUCAUUCAAAGCACUCUUGGAGCUUGAACUGGGCUUACUGUGGUCCUGGGCUGCAUAGGAAAGCAGGCUGAGCAAGACAUAGAGAGGAAGACAACAAGUACCACUCCAUGGCCUACUUCAGUUCCUGCUUUGAAUUACUGCCUUGACUUCUCAAGAUAAUGGACUACAAAUGGAUAUGGGAGGCUUGAGCAAAUACUAUGAAUCUCUCAAGGAGCUAUGGAUUACCUUAAAAGGCUAGACAACAGAGCCACGGCACAGGAAGUCUGCCCUGGAUGCUAUCCUGCUGGGAAUUGGCCCUCUGAAACAGAUCCAUCCACCCGAUGAGUCAUGACAUUAAAAAUGAUGAAGGAAAUGGACUGGUCCCCAGACAAACAGCUCGGGGCAAUACGAUUCCUGCAUCCAAAGGACUAUGGGUUACAGACACCUCUCUCUUCUGGGAUACAACGUGUAAAAGCCGGAUUGAGAUCUCUAUGCCUGUUCUUCAACUGCUGUGGCUACCACUAUUCCAAGAGACAGAAUAAGAAAGUUAAAGACAACAAGAAAUGGGUCUGUAAGGCCCGAAGUGAGUGGUGUGGCAAACGACUGGACUCACUCACAUGAAUAUAAGGGUGAGAGGGGAAAAGCCUUGUGACUAAGUCCUGUGAUUUGGGGAUUGGGUCCAAAGCAUAGCCCAGCCCUUAUUUACUAACAUCAGAGUGAAGACAAGAACUAACUUUGCCUACAUUUUGCAGCUAAUCCAUUCAGGAACAGACUAAGUCUCGUCCUGACCUACUUGUCGUUUUUCUGUAAAGACCACUCGAGGUUUUAUCAACUUGAUCAACAGGUAUGUUCAUAGUAAACCCGAGUAACCAUUUUUGUACAGUGAAUAAAGUAUUUUUAAUAAUCCA